rnacentral:rRNA from 1 species
CCUACGGGUGGCAGCAGUGGGGAAUAUUGUGCAAUGGGCGAAAGCCUGACGCAGCGACGCCGCGUGAGGGAUGAAGGUCUUCGGAUCGUAAACCUCUGUCAGCAGGGAAGAACGGUCACUGUGCUAAUCAGCAGUGAAUUGACGGUACCUGCAAAGGAAGCACCGGCUAACUCCGUGCCAGCCGCCGCGGUAAUACGGAGGGUGCGGGCGUUAAUCGGAAUUACGGGGCUUAAAGCGCUCGUAGGCGGUAGGUCAAGUCAAGGGUGAAAUCCCCGCGCUAAACGUGGGAACUGCCUUUGAAACUGGCAAACUGGAGUGGGUGAGAGGAUAGUGGAAUUCCAGGUGUAGGAGUGAAAUCCGUAGAUAUCAGGAGGAACAUCAGUGGCGAAGGCGACUAUCUGGCACAUAACUGACGCUGAGGAGCGAAAGCGUGGGUAGCAAACAGGAUUAGAUACCCUGGUAGUC